AUCAGGAUGGAGCCCACGUGAAAGGGAUCAGUGUCCUGUAAAAGGGACCCCAGAGGACUCUCUUGGCCCUUCUGCCUGUCAGGACAAGUGUGAAGAUGCCAACGGAAACGGGCCACACCCGUCACUGAAUCCUCCACUGUCUCGGCCUUGGACUUCCGGCCUCCAGGACUGUGAGGAAUAAAUCUUGAUGAAAUCUCCCAAGCCAGGGUAUGUGAUAAUUGUACCUGAGCAGAACACAGCCUCCCCUCCUCAUGGAAAAGAAACAGAUACUUUUUGAGCUGCACUUCUUGCAGGAGCAAAUUAUUAAGGGCAGUGCUACCCUGCCAUUUGGGCAGAAUCUGUUCCGGAGCCGUGACCGCAAGGACUUCACAGGGCAGUGGCUUCUGCGAAGUCCUCAGAUUCUCCAGGAAAUGAGAAAUCAAAUCUCCACGGACUAUCCAGGCUAGAGAGAUCUGUUUUAAAUGCCAGAGAGUGAAAUUGACUUUUUUUAAGUACCCUCUUCCCAAGAAGAAAAUAAGUGGCUCAAAGUGUCAACCCUCAUUCUGAAAUAUCAGCAGAGAUGAAGAAUGAAAUUUGAGGAGGAAAGAUAUGUAAACCCUUUAACCUAAUCAAGAUGCCUCGGUGAUCCUGGGGUGAGGAGUGAGUGGCGGGUUCUAUUUAGGAAGCAGAGCAAUGACAUUUUCCCUCAGGGAAAGGGAGAGCAUCUCCCCCAAAUCAGGACCUUGGUGACUCUUUGAAUAUUUUCGGGGAGAUUUGAAUGUCAAUGUAUGCACUCUGGAAGUGUUUCCUCUGGAGAAUGUUAUCCCAGACCUCUCACUUUGGGGUUGCCACUGUCUCUCUUCUGAGGUUCAGUCCCAGGCCCUGUUGCUCUACCUCCUGAGACACAAGAUAUACAGCUUCUAUCUUGAGAGCUGUGAGCAGAGUCCGAUCUGUCCCCAGUCCUGCCCUGGGGGCAGAGUGGUGCCAGCCCCAACAGCCAUGGUGUAGACUAAAAUCCAAAGACCCAAGGGAGAGGUCAGGAUGUAUUCUUUAUGAGGCAGGCAUUGGAGGGAGCGUAGGGGUUUUGGCUUUGUUUUUUGUUCACUAAAAUAACCACAUUUAACUUUU